GUUCGUCGUGACGGAUUUCCAAGCGAACUGAAAAUAAAAAACAGUCCGGUGUAUCCAGUUGCACUUCUCAGAUUUAUUAUAUAUAUAUAACAAGUGACUUUUAUUUGUGUAUAGAAAUAAUAAAUAAGGAAAAAUACAAAUACAAAUUCAAUUGAUUGUAUUGUUAGCUGAUCAGUGACAUUCAUCAAUGACAAAAGCUGCCGAGAGAAGUUGUUUGAAAUUCAUCUAUAUAUAAAUUUAUAAAAAAGCUUUCAAAGCGAAUCUUAUUCACUUGGUUGAUUGGGAAAAAAAAAAAAAAAAAGAAAAAAUAUAAAAAACUAAACGACGUGACGCAAAAACGUAAGAAGAAAACGAGAGGAAUUGAAGUAGUACGAACGUUAGAUGAAGAGUACAGUAGUAUUCGAGUAGUAAAAGUAAGGAAUAAGAAGUAGAAGUAUAAGCAAAAAAUAUCGGUGCUCGGCAGCAGCAACGGGAGUAGUUCAGUGCUUGCCACUAGAUAGCGCCCAGCCACUUGUGUCGUCCCUGGUAAGAAAUAUAUUUCAGAACUCUUAUACUAACCUUGACUAUGUUUUUAUUCUAGCACUGUUUAUUUCAUGGAUCAUCUAUCAAGUGGAAUGGAUCAGUGAGACUCCAACCCAUUAAAAAAAUAUUUUUUACGAGUAGAAGUCGUAAAACGUGUUAGUCAUCACACAAAAUGAUUUUAGUGCCUUCGACUUACAUAAAUAUUAUUAGUUUGGUUUAUCACCGGCCACGGAAGUGGGGUUACACCUGCCAUGCCGAACUGUCUAAACUCAGUAAGCAAGAGAUGGAUAAAAAAUCCGAGGAAGAAACUUCUAGUAUGAGUACAUAACUCACAAGUAAACGGUGACGUUGCUUGAGGCAACGAGUGAGUACACAGAGAACAAAAAAAGAGACGAAUAUACAUUUGUACCCAGAAUAAGAAGAAGGAAACAAGACCCUGUCAUUGGUGCGUUUUUACCACCGGCUAUAUCUGGUAUAUAUCGAUAAUGAUAUGCGCCCUAUCCUGCAUUUCUUCAUCCGCAUCCUCAUUUUCAUCUUUUUAUAAAAGGUAUACCACUCGAUAAAAAGACAAGCUGAUUUAUGUCUUUAUAAAAAUUUUCUUAUCGAUAGAUUUUAAAUAUGUAUCAUUAUAUAA